AACAGGUAACUGAAAUUUUAAUAAACCUACGUAUUUACAUAAAAACUGCAAAAAUCAACAUUACAACACGGGUUUUCAAAGAUUAACAUUUACAAUUAUAGUAAAAUAUAGUUUCACAAGUUAAAUUUCCCUGACACUUCAUUUCAGUAUUAAUCUAACUCUUUAUACUUAUUCGGUAACCAAUUUGUUUUUCCACAUGCUUUUCUUUGGUUUUAUCACCUUAGAAAAUUCCUCAAGUAUUAAUUAUGUGAAUGGCAGCUAUAUGAAGCAAACAUUAUAUUUCUGAUUUGCUGCAUUCUCCCACCUGGUCUCCUUUUUUCUAAACAUUUUUGCUGCUCCUUA
rnacentral:lncRNA from 1 species